GAAUUUAAUAUUGAUUAUGGGAGGUUAGCUUUAUUUUUGUCUAUGUUAUCUUUUGAUCGCCAGCCAUGGAUCUCUUCCCAUGCUCCUAACUGUCCGUUGGGAACAAUUCACUUACUUUUAAUUUCGAAUUAUUGGCUAUGAGACUGGGUGCUUUGGCCUCUCAGUCCCAACCGUUGAAAUGAUAACUUUAUAGAAAUUCUGGAUGAGAAGAGAACAAAAAUGAUUCUCUGGAUCCCUUUAACAGACUUUCAUUCCUUUAUUUUACAAUUUUAAAAUAUGACCGUGUUCAUUAUAAUGAGAUACACAUAAUAAAUCAAUUUUUCCUGACCGAUUCUUUCCCUCCUUCAAAUAUAAAUUUGAAUGCUUCUCACACGGCCAGCAAUUAUACUUAAAUUCUACAAAGAAACUACAUACAGUCAUGAAUUUGGACUGAACUGCCAUGAAACACGCUAUGAGGUUUGCAUAAACAACCUUUUUAUAUCGAUAUAGAAUCUGCCUUUAACAAAAUAAGCCUAGAGAAACCUACCGAAAUGGAGGAUGAAUUAGCAUUUGCAAAAGUAUAAAGCAUUUUUAAACUGAGGAUAAAUUCACCUUCUCAAGGUUUAUUUUAGAAUUCAUGCAAUGGCUUUAAUAUACUUUCUUGAUCACUUUCGAAGUAAAACUUAUCAGAAAGUUUUCAAUACAAACAAAAUGUUGUAUUUGAGGGCCUGGAUAAAGCUGGAAUGAAAAAAAGGCAAAGACAAAGUUUACAGUUCCUAUAAAUAAAAGCUAAAAAAAAAAUAUUUUUUGUAAAGGUUUUUGGAUGCCUUUAUUCUAUAAGUUUUAAAAGGGGUAACUUUCUGAGGCAACCAAAUAAAAAUGAAAAUAAAAUAUUUGCUGUAAGUUGCCUACUAUAUGAUAUAAUACAGGAUGUUUAUAAAGUCCCAGACCCAUUUUGACGUUUAAUAACUCACAAAAUAAUAAAAAUAGAUUAAAAUUAAUAACAUAAAUGAUUAGAUAGACUCAAAAAGUUUCAUGACCGUUGUCAAUGAACUGGUUGGAGCAGUUUGGUGCAAUUGGUAACUGGCGUGAGGAAAAAAAUUAACUUAGAAUUUAAUGUGUUUUAAUUUUACUAUAUAACUGCUUAAACAAUUUUCGAAUCCUUAUGUUUACCUUUUAAAUUUGCAAUUUUAUAGGAAUACGGUGCAUUGUUUUACGAAACCAGUGCAAAAACAGGAGAUAGCAUUCCUGAAGCUAUUGAAGGUUUAGCAUGCAUUUUAAAAACAAAGGAAGACGAAACAAUAGAGCAAGUCCUUAAACUCCAAGAAGAAGAAGAAAAGAAGAGGAAAAAGAAAUGUUGCUGACUCUCAUAUCAGUUGUUCUGGUAUCUCAAGUAUUUCAUUCUGUACAUUGUUUUCUUAUCGUAUAGUUUAUAUUAUUGUAAAAUAAAGUAUUUUAUUGAUUUUUUU